rnacentral:rRNA from 1 species
GACGGACGCUGGCGGCGUGCUUAACACAUGCAAGUCGAACGAUGACGACCGAGCUUGCUCGGUCUGAUUAGUGGCGAACGGGUGAGUAACACGUGAGCAACCUGCCCUUCACUCUGGGAUAACCUCGGGAAAUCGGGGCUAAUACCGGAUAUGAGCUCCUGUCGCAUGGCGGGUGUUGGAAAGUUUUUCGGUGAAGGAUGGGCUCGCGGCCUAUCAGUUUGUUGGUGAGGUAGUGGCUCACCAAGGCGAUGACGGGUAGCCGGCCUGAGAGGGCGACCGGCCACACUGGGACUGAGACACGGCCCAGACUCCUACGGGAGGCAGCAGUGGGGAAUAUUGCACAAUGGGCGAAAGCCUGAUGCAGCGACGCCGCGUGAGGGAUGACGGCCUUCGGGUUGUAAACCUCUUUCAGCAGGGAAGAAGCGAAAGUGACGGUACCUGCAGAAGAAGCGCUGGCUAACUACGUG